CUUGAUUCUCUUGGUGAAUUUAGUUUAUAUGUAUAGGCCCCUAGUUUGUUGUAUUCUGCGAUUAGCGACACAAAGCAAGGAUCCAGUAUCAGUACUGUGAGCAAUCUGGCAGAUGACAGCCAUCCAAGUUCUUCAGAAGGAGAGGAAUCCCGCUAUAGUCACGAUGAAAUGGAGGAGGAAAGUGCUGCAGAGACACACCAAGAACCAGAUACUCAAGUGGUAGCUGUAUAGAUACUAGUACUGCAACUUUGGAUUCAUGUCAGAUGUUUACUCAGCACAGAGGAGACUAGUCUGGAAAACGUCAUCAGCUGAAGACCUGCAUCUGGAAACCAACAUGUCCAAUGUAAAGUCUAUUCAAAGAGUGUAAAGUCAAGUCUCUUCUAGAUAUACA